CCAGAUGUUUUUUUUAUAUAUAUAAUUUUUUAUUUUUUAACAAGGGGGUGACAAAAAGGAAAAGGGGAAUUGAGGUUCAUGGGGAAAAGGAGAAACAAUCACAUACUAGCAUCCAUUCUAUACCUAUUGCCAUAUCAAAAUUCCACGUUACUCUAUUUACUCUUUUCUGCCUUCUAGGUUUAAGUUCUCGUUUCAAUAUAUGCUCUUCAUACGUUGCGUGUUGAUUCCGUCCACUUUGUAGAAUAAGUCCCAUCUUUCUGUUGCCUUUUGGAAAUGGACUUCUGAUAAAAUGUCCAUUUCCGCUAUUUCCCGUAUCUUCUCAAUAAGAUCUUGUUUUGGUAUCGUCGGACUUUCCCAAUUUUUGGCAUAGAGAAUUCUUGCUGCGGUGAGAUGUUUUCUGGGUUGCUUACACCCCGGGAAGCUCCAUCCAUUUCAUUGCUAUCUUGAAACGCACACACACAAUGGCUGUGACAGAGAGGGAGACACACACACAAACACACACAGGAUCAGAAGAAGUAGAAUCUCAUAUGGGGGACACCUGUAGAAGAAAUAGUAGAGAGACGAGGAAUUUAAAAUUGAGCUUAAACCCGUUGGAUGUGUCUGUUUCCCUCCAAGGGUUCUUGGGAGCUGGGAGCCAGGUUUUGCCUAGAACUCGCUAGGUUUGUCUGAAACACGGAGUGGAUCCUUCUUGGUGGGAUUCUGAGCUCCGGGGCCUAGAGAUGGGAACGAACCCCGGUGGGGGGGGCUCGUGGGGCGGAUGUGUCCGUGAUCCAGCCCUUACAGAAACGAAGGAGCCCCGUCCUCUGCUGGUUUUUCAGCUUACCUCUCUGGAGAACAGCCCGGAGCUACGGCGCGUCGACUCCAGCCGGAAGUCGAGAAACUUCAACAAGCAGCCCAGCACGGGCGAUUACUACAAACAUCUGGGCGGCGGCGAACCAGCUGGGAGCAACCGGAAGAUGGCCCACAGCGAGGAGGCUUCGCUUCUGUCCGAGGAGAGUGUGCAAAAUGGGAGUGCGGCAGAGAGCAAGCCUUCCGGCGAGGUGCCUCCCCCUCCCCNNNNNNNNNNNNNNNCUGCUGCCCGCCGAGAACCACCCGGCUUCGACCAGCCAACGGCGCUCCUCCUCGUCGACUGGAAGUAAGUCCAGACCCGUUUCUCUUCCCCACUUUAUGUCCCCCUUUCUCUGCACUGUAGACUCGGAUGGAGAAACGAGUCCUCCCUGCCUGCCGGGAGGAUGCUGGAAGUUGUAGGUCGGCUUUAAGGAACUGGUCUCGAAUGGAGGUCUGUUUCCAUGGCCCUGCUCCAAGGUUUGAAGGGCUUUCCCGGCCCAGGUGGAGCCGACUCGUUUUUUGCACCUCCGGAGGAUGGAGUGUGAGUUGGAUUUACUGUAUUUUUCUGUGUAUAAGACGCCCCCAUAUAUAAGAUGCCCCCCACUUUUCUAAUUCAAAAUUAAGAAAUCUAAAUGGGGCUUAGCAAGUGUAGGGGGAAAAGGGAUCAAAGCGCUGCAGAAUCGCUUUGAUCCCUGCUUUCCCCUCCACUUGUUUUUGUUCUCUCCUCAGCUUACUUCCGUGUAUAAGAUGACCCUCAAUUUUUAGUCUAAAGAUUUUAGACAAAAGUAUAGUCUUAUACACGAAAAAAUGCGGUAAAUGGCAAAAACCAGAGAGAUUACAAUGGAAACGUAGGAAGCCCUUCAUGUUGGGGUGGGACCCUCGCUCCCCAGGCAAAUGGCUGCCUCAGAGGGCAGUA
rnacentral:lncRNA from 1 species